AAUCAAUAAAAUAUAUUUUUAAAAAAAUACAGGCUUGAUCAGCAGUGGCGCGCUCUCAAGCUGUAAGCCCGCUCCGACUGCACUGUUUGUGGUGGCCUGUGCUGAAGGUGGUCAAGGAGGGCGCAGGGUGUUCCUGUUUACCCGGCGAGAUAACAGCCUGUGCCCCUUUGGAGCGGGCUGUCCCGUGUACAGAGCACAGGUUAUGCAACGCAGAGCCCGCAGUUCGUUCUUUCUUUUUCUCAGGGUCACCUCCAGAGUUUUCUUAGGAAGCAGCCAGGUGGGACGCAGGAUAGGACAGCAGUGUAGAAUUAUCGCCCUUCUUGAGAGUUUGUUUGCCAGCUGUUUUAUAGAGGUGCUCUCACUACUAACCCCUGUCACGCAGGACACACCUGCACCAGAGCGCACUGCUAGUGAGUGAUAGAAGUUGGAAUUUUUCUUUCAGUUUUUCUGAUUCCAAAGCAUUGAGAUCUUUCUCCUCCUCCUUAGAAGUGGGAAAGCCUGUGGCAGUUUUUACCUCAUUUUGCAGUCAGAGACAUCUGAGGCCUGGUGCACGGAGGAGGCUCUGAAUUAAAGCUGAGUGGGUGUGGGUGAGGGACAGUCUCUCAAGUCAGGCGAUCUGGGCUCUACUGACUCAUCAGGAACAGGUCAUCUUUCCUCUCAAAGACUGUUUUCUCAUCUGUAAAAUAGCUGUGAGGUGUCUUCCAGCAAUGUAACUAAAAACAGGGUUAUUGAGGUUUAAUUUACAUACAGUUAACUUCACCCACUUUUAGGGGUAUAGUUCUGUGAACUUUGACAAACAUACAGUCCUGUAACCACAGCCACAAUCAGGGUCUAGAACACUUCCAUCAAUCCAGAAAGUUCCCUUGUAUCCUUUUGUGUUACUGUCUCCCUUCACCCCAGCCCUGGCAAACACUGAUCUGUUUUCUGCCCCUAUCGUUUCAUCAGUGGGAUUUUAACUGGAACUUUUGAUGAACAGAAGCAUGUCCACAUCAGGGAUUUAGUUUUAGAACCUUUCCAGGUUCUGUCCGGUGUCCAACAAGCAUCUGGUGUGAUCUCCUGAACUCCCUUUUCCUGAAAUGCUGGCUUUUGCUCGAUUUAAUUUUAAGGAACCUUAGAGAUAGAUCACCUGUUGGUUUUCCAGCUCCUCUGAGCUCCAGUGCCUGGGGAUAUGGU